UUCCCACGCCGCUCUCACUCACUAACUGCUGCUUCUCACACUCUCAUCUCUCUCGGUACUCUUUUUCUCUUCUCUUUUUCAGACACUCUUAGAUCCUCUAUCUCCGAUCAUCAUCCAUCUCAGAUCGGCAGUUGUAGCUCUCUCUCUCUCUCGAUUUGUUUUUGUGGAAAUCAUGUUCUAUUUCGUAUAAGCAUGUAUGUCCAGCCCCAGAUUUGUUUGAUUCAUUUCAACCCCAUAUGUUUUUUAGAAAUGAAAAUGUUAUAUAUUUUUCUGUUAUUUAAAUAUGUGAAUCUGCGGUCCUAAAAUGAUCAAAUCCUUGUUUAAACGGAUUGGUUUCACGAUUUAAACAGAUUGGAUUGAUUUUAAUUUUUCAGGAACCGUAGAUAACGGAUUGGUCCUUGUUUUAUCUCAAUUCGGACCAUGUUCACUCUAGUCCAUAAUGCCUGAAUUAGUGAGGAGUUAUAGGUCACAUAAGUAGCCCAAUAAUGACAUAUAAAUAAUAUAUCAACACAAUACAUAAUGGGCUUAUGACGGACUAAUAGAUAGUUGAGUAGUCAUGUAUGUAAUCUCCAUUUGCUCCUUCCUUGCACCCGUGGGUUGGAUCCAUUCCUGCAAGUUAUACCCAAAUUCAAUAACAUACUUGCUUAAAAACUUUUCCAUUUUCUCUUAUCUAGUCAAUGUGGGACUCUCCACAUUCUCAUAUGAUAACUUCUAGUUAAACCCCACUAAUUCACCAUUAUAUACUCAUUUAUAUCAAUUAAUAAAUUAAUUACACAAAUAAAUAUUAAAAUAGACUAACAAAUUUUAUAUAUGAAUAGAAUUUUGUUUUCUUAAUAAUGAAGUUCUUACCAUGGUUUUAAAAACCAGACCGGACCAGUCGGUUGAACUGGGCCAGUUCCAGUCUGGACUUACCCGCAGAACUGAACUGAUCCCAAAAUCGUCCUUUUUCACCAAAAUCGAAAAACCUAGCAAUAGAACCGGCUAAACUAGUGAACCGGACAUGGUUUUUUGGAACCAGUCCUUCAAUUUAUUUAUUUUCUUUCUUUCUUAUAUAUAUGUAUAUAUAUAAUAUAAAAUAAAUUGACUAUAAGCUCUCUUCAAGGGUCUCUUUCUUGCUAGGAAGCACAGAUACUUUGAAACGGCCCUCGUACGCGUAUUGAAUAUAUAUCGGAUACGGAUACACAUCUAAUACGGCGGGAUACAUAUCAGAUACGGCAAAGAAGUAUUCCAUUUUUAAUCUUUUUUUUUUAAAUUUUAGAUACAUUUAAGAUAUGCGGGGACACUUCAAGGAUAUGCUUGGGAUACUUUCGGGAUAUAGUAGGGCGAAAAAAUAAUUUUGAAACUUAUAAUUGGGGUCAAAGUGUAAAAUAACAAAACUAUAUCUAAAAUAAAACAAA